rnacentral:rRNA from 1 species
AGUUUGAUCCUGGCUCAGAUUGAACGCUGGCGGCAUGCCUUACACAUGCAAGUCGAACGGUAACAGGUCUUCGGAUGCUGACGAGUGGCGAACGGGUGAGUAAUACAUCGGAACGUGCCCGAUCGUGGGGGAUAACGUAGCGAAAGCUACGCUAAUACCGCAUACGAUCUACGGAUGAAAGCGGGGGAUCGCAAGACCUCGCGCGAUUGGAGCGGCCGAUAUCAGAUUAGCUAGUUGGUGGGGUAAAAGCUCACCAAGGCGACGAUCUGUAGCUGGUCUGAGAGGACGACCAGCCACACUGGAACUGAGACACGGUCCAGACUCCUACGGGAGGCAGCAGUGGGGAAUUUUGCGCAAUGGGCGAAAGCCUGACGCAGCAACGCCGCGUGGGUGAUGAAGGUCUUCGGAUCGUAAAACCCUGUCGUCGGGGACGAAGGUAAUUCGGUUAAUAACUGAGUUGCUUGACGGUACCCGGAGAGGAAGCCCCGGCUAACUCUGUGCCAGCAGCCGCGGUAAUACAGAGGGUGCAAGCGUUAAUCGGAAUUACUGGGCGUAAAGGGUGCGUAGGCGGUCUCUUAAGUCGGAUGUGAAAUCCCUGGGCUUAACCUAGGAAUUGCAUACGAUACUGAAAGACUUGAGUACAGUAGAGGAUAGUGGAAUUCCACGUGUAGCGGUGAAAUGCGUAGAUAUGUGGAGGAACACCAGUGGCGAAGGCGGCUAUCUGGACUGAUACUGACGCUGAGGCACGAAAGCGUGGGGAGCAAACAGGAUUAGAUACCCUGGUAGUCCAAUCC